rnacentral:rRNA from 1 species
UACGUAGGGGGCAAGCGUUGUCCGGAAUUAUUGGGCGUAAAGCGCGCGCAGGUGGUUCCUUAAGUCUGAUGUGAAAGCCCACGGCUCAACCGUGGAGGGUCAUUGGAAACUGGGGAACUUGAGUGCAGAAGAGGAAAGUGGAAUUCCAAGUGUAGCGGUGAAAUGCGUAGAGAUUUGGAGGAACACCAGUGGCGAAGGCGACUUUCUGGUCUGUAACUGACACUGAGGCGCGAAAGCGUGGGGAGCAAACAGG